ACCCGCGACAGGACGGAAAGACCCCGUGGAGCUUUACUGCAACCUGAUAUGGAAUGUUUGUACCGCUUGUACAGCAUAGGUAGGAGCCGAAGAGACGUGUGCGCUAGCAUACGAGGAGGCAAUGGUGGGAUACUACCCUGGCUGUAUGACCAUUCUAACCCGCCACGCUUAGCGCGUGGGGAGACAGUGUCAGGUGGGCAGUUUGACUGGGGCGGUCGCCGCC
rnacentral:rRNA from 1 species